AACUUUUGACAACGGAUCACGUGGCUCUCGCAUCGAUGAAGAACGCAGCGAAUGCGAUAAGUAAUGUGAAUUGCAGAAUUCAGUGAAUCAUCGAAUCUUUGAACGCACCUUGCGCCCUCUGGUAUUCCGGAGGGCAUGCCUGUUUGAGUGUCUUGAUAUCAUCAAACCCUCGGGUUCGCGCCCGCUGCGGUUUGGAGUUGGGGGCUUUUGCUGCCGCGAGGCGGCUCCCCUUAAGAUCAUCGGUUUGGCCCGUACCUUGCGGCUAGCACCUUUGGCUUUGUAUUUUCCUCGCCUCCGAUCGGUCUUGCUCGCUUCCGCGCCUCACCUCGACUUGCCCUUUGGGUGGCGGUCACUUCUUGACAAUCUGGCCUCAAAUCAGGUAGGACUACCCGCUGAACUUAAGCAUAUCAAUAAGCGGAGGCU
rnacentral:misc_RNA from 1 species